AUAAAGGUUUUUGUUCAUGCAUCUGACGAUAUAAAUAGCGCCUAUAUCACUACUAUGUCUGUCGUAUCCCAGCCGGCCAGAAGAGCUCUGGUAUUGUUAGAAAGGUCUCGUCGUCACUGGAUAUGGCGGCAAUUUUCGUGGAAGUCCUGCAUUAUUACAAGCUUGGCAUAAGCAAGAAACGAUAGAGCAGCUGAAACUAUGCUUGGUUUGGAAUGCCAUUAAAAAUGUGCCGCCAUCUGUCGCCAAACAUAAGAUACUGUGAAUUUCUAAAUGUUUGGCCCCCUAUCCGAAGAAUCAGCGGUAAGACUGAGAGCUUAUGACGCUAGAAUUGGCGACUCGAUCCCAGCGGUGGACACAGCGCAGUCUUUCCACCGUGCAGCUUUGCAAAAAAAAUUAA
rnacentral:lncRNA from 1 species